CGUGGACACUUAUUAGCUACAGCCACCUUGAGUGCAGCCACAGAAAAAAAAACCGGAUUAAUAAGAUCUUAAAGCACUUAUAUAUCUAGUUACAACGGCACUGCAGAAAUUUUCAUUUGCUCAUCUGCUCAGUGUGACCGCUUAUGAUUAAACAAAUACCGUCCGACCCUCAGAAACAUACCGAAACAAACCAACUCAUUUUCAAAAUACAUCGUAAAUAUACCGAUUGAAAGCCCUUAACCCAGUUAAGCCUCCACUUUUUAAAAGGGCAAAAAACUUCAGUUAAACAGCGGAUAUUAAAACUGUUUAUAGAUACUUCUUGUAUAUGCAUUCUUUUUCUUAGCUUAAAAAAGAAAUGACUACGAUAUCUUUCACCAUAAUUGCGUUAAAACUCUUCAAGUUUCAUUAUUAUCGUGGAGUGCAUUUUAUAUCCACUGGUAGACAAUGGACAAUCGUUUUCCAUGACCGGAAAUCAUAUUCCUCAUAUUUUCAUAUAUAUUUUUAAUAUUACUAGCGAGCUAGCACCCACGAGCAAUGAACACAUAAUUUUUUUAGAUGAAUCAAUAAAAGAAGUUUUAAGUUUUUUUAGAUGAA